rnacentral:tRNA from 1 species
GUAGAAGUGGCAGAGAAGUGCACUAGAUUUAAGCUCUAGAUAUAAAAACUAUAAAGGUUUUUCUUUUACA